UGGGGAAUUUUGGACAAUGGGGGCAACCCUGAUCCAGCAAUGCCGCGUGAGUGAAGAAGGCCUUCGGGUUGUAAAGCUCUUUUGUCAGGGAAGAAACGGUAGUAGCGAAUAACUAUUACUAAUGACGGUACCUGAAGAAUAAGCACCGGCUAACUACGUGCCAGCAGCCGCGGUAAUACGUAGGGUGCAAGCGUUAAUCGGAAUUACUGGGCGUAAAGCGUGCGCAGGCGGUUGUGUAAGUCAGAUGUGAAAUCCCCGGGCUCAACCUGGGAAUUGCAUUUGAGACUGCACGGCUAGAGUGUGUCAGAGGGGGGUAGAAUUCCACGUGUAGCAGUGAAAUGCGUAGAUAUGUGGAGGAAUACCGAUGGCGAAGGCAGCCCCCUGGGAUAACACUGACGCUCAUGCACGAAAGCGUGGGGAGCAAACAGGAUUAGAUACCCGCGUAGUCCCUGAGCGGGCUGGCAAGGCGCAU
rnacentral:rRNA from 1 species